AUGCAGCAGAACCCUCACUCUGCAUUUUCUCCCCCUUUCUGCAGCGAUGACAUUCCUCCAGACUCGUCUUUGGGGGAGGAAGGGAAGGGAGGAGAGGGGAAGCUGCAGAGUGAGGUGGACUUACAACCACAGCCAGAGCAACAGGAGGAAGAGCCACAGACUGCGUCGCCGGAGCCGCAGUCGGAGCCCCAACCACAGACUCAGCCGCCUGAAACCAAACCUGAGCCAGAACCUCAGCCUCCACCAGAGCCUGAGCCUCAACCCGAACCUGAUCCUCAACCCGAACCCGAGUCUCCGCCUGAACCAGAUCAAGAGCCUCCACCCGAAUGGGAGCCUCCCCCCGAGCCACAGGCCGAGGUUCCAAGCGAGGGAGCGGACGUGGAGUUCCCUGAAUCACCUUGCGAAGAAGACCAGCACAAGUUGGGUGAACAAAUGGAAACCAAUAGAGAAGAAGAGGAGGAGGCUGCACGGGCCAGACUGCCGGAGGAGGCAUCGCAGGAGGAGGAGGAGGAGGAGGAGGAAGGGGGAGGAGCUAAAGGAGGUGGGACAGGGAGGAGAGCCAGCCUGCAUCACACGGCCUCACCUUUGAGGGUGCAGCGCAACGGCGCCGGUUCCCAUUCUGCCACCUCCGACUAUGAGCUCUCGCUUGACCUCAAAAACAAGCAGGAGCUUGGAAAGCAUUCUGUUAUCAUCUCCAUUUCAAGACCCAUCAAACAUUCGCCAUCUGUUUCCAUUACACUCAAUUUAAUCAACACUCUUCGACCCGUGGAUCUUCGGCAAGGUAAGGCUCGAUCAGGCUGCGGAGGUUGAAGGAAGCAGUUUUAGGUUCUAGAAAGUGAGCGACCGAAAGAUGAAAGACAUCAAAGCUCUCUAGAAGUCAGAUCAAAGCAACUUUUCCCCAAGAAGAGGCCUUAUUUUCCAUCAGAACUGAGUGGUCUUUAUGGUGUUGAUUGUUGCUGCAUACACUAGCUGACAGCUUAUAGAAUUGCUUUAAUUCCCUGGUCCAAGUUUUCAUAGAUCUGUGGUUCAUUUGUGAAACACGAAGGUUGCUGCCCACCUUCCGGUCCUUGACUUUGAUUACUGUCGCCGUAAUUGCGCUCCAGUUGGCCGCACUUAAUCAAUGCAGUGGAUUUGUUUACCAAUUGUUCUGGGGUCAUUGCUUACGCCGCUCUACCUCCGGGCACCGUGCGAGAUGGCGUUGAUGAAGCUAUUUAAAAGUAGCACCGUUCAGGGCAUUUGGACUAUGUCCUCAAUAUUUGUUUCAAUAAAAUGAAGAAGGAAAUUACCAAAUUACCAGAUUUAACGACUGGAACGUGGUUUGUUGUGACGCACUUUGAGUUAUGUGGUUUGUUCCUGUUUCCCUCCCACUCAGUUCCAUUUUUACUCCCUUCCGACUUUAUUUUCUCGUUCAGUAUAUCUGUUUUCAAGAUCAAAGCUCGGCUCCUACACGUGUCCCCACCUCUCUCACACUUUCGAUCCGACAUCCGAAAGCCCCUGACGCCUCCACACCGACGCCACCGGAGAUGUGCAAUGACAGGGGCAUUGAUCUCACGUCGUACAGUCGGGGGCAGUGAAGCUUGAUGCAUUGACAGACCAUCGUCAUUGUAAUUGGAUCUGCGGGGUGAGGCCGGGAUUUCUGGGAAAAGGAAUUUGAACCGCAGUUCAACAUUUUUGCAGUUUUACACAACCUGGUUUGAAUGAAAGAUCCCCGUUAUUCUAGAAUUAGAUCUAAGAGUCCUCAGACGCAGGAUUCUGAUCAAUCCUCACCUCAUUUUCCACCAUCACAAGGCCAUGAAUAACAACACAUCAGCCAACAACUUCAGCUCUUUCACGCGUCCUCGGCUCUCGUCUGGUUCUUGCACUGGUUCCUCCUGUUAUGUAAUCCUCUAAUUAAUCGGGCAGAUGUUUCUGGGCUCCGAGACGAUCCGCAUGAGCGUGAAGGCUAAUAAUCACAGCUUUGCACCACAGUUGUCCUCAGCAGUGCAUUUUUUUGGACAUUUUAGAGUGGGGCGGUGACGUACCUCACGCUUGAUUGAUUGAAAGGUGUCUGUAUCCAUGUCCAAUUGCGCUCUGCAGAGCUGUGCUUGCUUAGCACCUUUGAUCCUCCCCUCAUUUUGAACUGAGCGUGAGGUCAGCAAGAGGCCAAACUUCCUGUCAAAGCUGAUUUAGAGAUCGCAGCAUCGCAGAGCUGAUCCGAUUUCUCCGGAAUAAUCUCAAUCCAUCGGCACUUAACCUGCUGAUUGGACGUGGAAUUGACAGAGGAGGUUUUCAACGGUGUCAGUCACUCCUUUAUCUUCCGCAUCUCCUAACCGGGACACUUUUAUCGGCUUUUCCAGCAGCACUGCUGCUAAACUACCGUUAUCGCCAAAUGAAGUUCCUAAAAAUCCACAAGCCUCAUAUUUUUACUGGGAUUACCGGAGCCGUGCGUGUCACAUUGUUUACAUCCGUUGUUGAAAUACUACUGUGACGCUAAAACGGAGCAGAGCCAGCUCCAGAGAUCUCGCCGACAUUCAGCCCCACAAAUUAUUCACGGUGGUGUAUUUAGCUCUUCAGCUGUAAGCCUUGAUGCCGUGUGCCGCCCAGACCACCUCCACCUUGACGCUUUGCUCCAUCAUGACUGAUUGGGUUCAGUCAUUUUAUCCUCCUACCAACUAUGGCUGGUGAAAGGACGGUGCAGACAGGUCAUGAUUACUGAGAUGGAGACCUUGUUGGAGGCUACACAGCACUGGUAUGAACACCAAAUGGCCCAACACAUGUAGAAAUUCCCCCUAAUAGUAGGAUACUGGGUGCAGAAUAUCCUAAAUGUUCUCCCUCCAAAAAGUCCUGACACAUUUCAGCGGCUCAAGAACCUUUUUCAAAGCUUUGGAUUUAUCAGCUCUUACGUGUUCAAUAGAAAGCCAAAGCCUUGCUGCUAAUGUCUCCAAAAAUUGAUUAUACGACUACCGGUAUCUUUUACCCACAUGACAGCAAAUCGAGCCUUAUGGCGUGCCGUAAUUCCAGGUCAUCAGUGGCGUUUAUCAGAUAGGCUCAAGAAAGCAACAUGUGCUGAAUGCUUUAUUCAUCAUCUCCAGCCCGAAUCACGCAGGAGGCGAUACAGACAAGUCCGACUGCCAUAUUUAAUCUACCCCUGCCGGCUCUCAGCCCUCCUUCCUCGCUCUGAAGGGCACCUUUGCGGUGGAAGUUCGGAAACUGGCUUUGAGGGACACCUUUGCGAGAAAUUAGGUCGAUCAAAGCACCAGCUUUAUUUUGGGGAUGCAGCUGUGGUGAUAAGGCUAAUCACUUCCAGAGCCCCCGCAGUGGGGGAGAGAUCCUGAAUAAGAAGCUGUGAAUAUUCAGGUCAAGUCUGACCCUUUGGCCGGAGCCAAGAGUGAUGGAGAAGUCGCCAUUAGCAGAUUAAGCAGCGGCCCAAAAUGACACCCAGAUCCCACCUUAAUAUGUUCGCUUUGUCCAACUUGCGCAGCCUCUGCAGUGAAGUAUAAAUGGAGUAGAUAAGAUGGAUUCUCAGUGUCAGUCCAUUCUUCUAAAGCGCUUUUGUGUGAUUCCAUUAGUCUGGUGACAGCAGCACAGUUUAACCGGCCACUUAUCACGAAACCUUAAAGCAUUACAGAAAAUCAGGAGACUGUGUCAGGGUGUUUGGGCGACUGUAGGGGCAUUAAAGGAGAUCUGAGGCUGAAAGUCACAUCCACAAGCACGCAUUGGUUCAAGACGAGAGGCUACAUCUUAAAGAUAACAGUCCGGGAUGUAGCCGAGACCUCUUUGUUUAAAGGUCGUGCUAUUUUAAAGUGUGUGUCGACUGUAUAUUUAGACCCAAAAGAGCUCGAUGUGAUGCUGAAGUUCUUCUAAAGCGUCAUUCCAGGACUGAAACAGAAUUAUAGCCAUUGAUACAGUUUGGAUGAAAAGGAUAUCAGAGUGACUAGAGAAGAUAAGGGCUCUUUCUUGCCUCUUCAGCAUGACAAUUGUUCUGGGUAACUCAAAGAGGGCCCCAUCA
ensembl:lncRNA